UAAAUUUAAUUUGCUAUUUGAUUUAUCCUUGUGUUACCACUCUGAAAUGCAGAUACCAAAUGUUUAUCUAAUAACGCUGUUAGAAAACACAAGGCCAUGCUUCAAGCAAGUUUAUCAUGGAAUCUGAUGCUAGACCAUCCGUCCUGAGAAUGAAAACUGUAGCCCAUCCACAGAGGUUCCUUGUGAGUUCUCUUGAACGUUAUGCUACUGUCUGAUUGUCCGUUGGCAUGUAUACAUCACACCAAUAUUCUGGAACACCACAUACUAAAAUGAAAACUUUUUGAGUCUGUGUUACUGCUCUGGCAGCUGUCAAA
rnacentral:lncRNA from 1 species